AUUGAACGCUGGCGGCAUGCCUUACACAUGCAAGUCGAACGGCAGCACGGGAGCAAUCCUGGUGGCGAGUGGCGAACGGGUGAGUAAUAUAUCGGAACGUGCCCGGUCGUGGGGAUAACGUAGCGAAAGCUACGCUAAUACCGCAUACGAUCUACGGAUGAAAGCGGGGGAUCGCAAGACCUCGCGCGAUUGGAGCGGCCGAUAUCAGAUUAGGUAGUUGGUGAGGUAAAGGCUCACCAAGCCGACGAUCUGUAGCUGGUCUGAGAGGACGACCAGCCACACUGGGACUGAGACACGGCCAGACUCCUACGGGAGGCAGCAGUGGGAAUUUUGGACUAAAGUGGGCGCAAGCCUGAUCCAGCAAUGCCGCGUGCAGGAUGAA
rnacentral:rRNA from 1 species